rnacentral:rRNA from 1 species
UCAGGAUGAACGCUAGCUACAGGCUUAACACAUGCAAGUCGAGGGGCAGCAUUUUAGUUUGCUUGCAAACUGAAGAUGGCGACCGGCGCACGGGUGAGUAACACGUAUCCAACCUGCCGAUAACUCCGGGAUAGCCUUUCGAAAGAAAGAUUAAUACCGGAUAGCAUACGAAUAUCGCAUGAUAUUUUUAUUAAAGAAUUUCGGUUAUCGAUGGGGAUGCGUUCCAUUAGUUUGUUGGCGGGGUAACGGCCCACCAAGACUACGAUGGAUAGGGGUUCUGAGAGGAAGGUCCCCCACAUUGGAACUGAGACACGGUCCAAACUCCUACGGGAGGCAGCAGUGAGGAAUAUUGGUCAAUGGGCGCGAGCCUGAACCAGCCAAGUAGCGUGAAGGAUGAAGGCUCUAUGGGUCGUAAACUUCUUUUAUAUGGGAAUAAAGUUUUCCACGUGUGGAAUUUUGUAUGUACCAUAUGAAUAAGGAUCGGCUAACUCCGUGCCAGCAGCCGCGGUAAUACGGAGGAUCCGAGCGUUAUCCGGAUUUAUUGGGUUUAAAGGGAGCGUAGGUGGAUUGUUAAGUCAGUUGUGAAAGUUUGCGGCUCAACCGUAAAAUUGCAGUUGAAACUGGCAGUCUUGAGUACAGUAGAGGUGGGCGGAAUUCGUGGUGUAGCGGUGAAAUGCUUAGAUAUCACGAAGAACUCCGAUUGCGAAGGCAGCUCACUAGACUGUCACUGACACUGAUGCUCGAAAGUGUGGGUAUCAAACAGGAUUAGAUACCCUGGUAGUCCACACAGUAAACGAUGAAUACUCGCUGUUUGCGAUAUACAGUAAGCGGCCAAGCGAAAGCAUUGAGUAUUCCACCUGGGGAGUACGCCGGCAACGGUGAAACUCAAAGGAAUUGACGGGGGCCCGCACAAGCGGAGGAACAUGUGGUUUAAUUCGAUGAUACGCGAGGAACCUUACCCGGGCUUAAAUUGCAACAGAAUAUAUUGGAAACAGUAUAGCCGUAAGGCUGUUGUGAAGGUGCUGCAUGGUUGUCGUCAGCUCGUGCCGUGAGGUGUCGGCUUAAGUGCCAUAACGAGCGCAACCCUUAUCUUUAGUUACUAACAGGUCAUGCUGAGGACUCUAGAGAGACUGCCGUCGUAAGAUGUGAGGAAGGUGGGGAUGACGUCAAAUCAGCACGGCCCUCACGUCCGGGGCUACACACGUGUUACAAUGGGGGGUACAGAAGGCGGCUACCUGGUGACAGGAUGCUAAUCCCAAAAACCUCUCUCAGUUCGGAUCGAAGUCUGCAACCCGACUUCGUGAAGCUGGAUUCGCUAGUAAUCGCGCAUCAGCCAUGGCGCGGUGAAUACGUUCCCGGGCCUUGUACACACCGCCCGUCAAGCCAUGAAAGCCGGGGGUACAAGAAGUACGUAACCGCAAGGAGCGUCCUAGGGU